rnacentral:rRNA from 1 species
GACGAACGCUGGCGGCGUGCUUAACACAUGCAAGUCGAACGGUGAAGCGCUUGCCUUUUUGGUGGGUGUGGAUGAGUGGCGAACGGGUGAGUAACACGUGAGUAACCUGCCCUCUUCUUCUGGAUAACCUCAUGAAAGUGGGGCUAAUACGGGGUAUUCCGGGUCUGUCGCAUGGCGGGUUUGGGAAAGAUUGCGCCUUUGGGUGUUUUCGGUGGGGGAUGGGCUCGCGGCCUAUCAGCUUGUUGGUGGGGUGAUGGCCUACCAAGGCGGUGACGGGUAGCCGGCCUGAGAGGGUGGACGGCCAAACUGGGACUGGGCCACGGCCCAGACUCCUGCGGGAGGCAGCAGUGGGGAAUAUUGCACAAUGGGCGCAAGCCUGAUGCAGCGACGCCGCGUGAGGGAUGGAGGCCUUCGGGUUGUGAACCUCUUUCGCCAGUGAAGCAGGCCUGCUCCUGUGUGGGUGGGUUGACGGUAGCUGGAUAAGAAGCGCCGGCUAACUACGUG